rnacentral:rRNA from 1 species
AGAGUUUGAUCAUGGCUCAGAACGUACGCUGGCGGCACGCCUAAUACAUGCAAGUCGAACGAAGUAGCAAUACUUAGUGGCAGACGGGUGAGUAACAUGUAGGUAUCUACCCUUUGGCCUGGAAUAACACGAGGAAACUUGUGCUAAUACCGGAUAAGUCUUUACGGAGAAAGCUUUAUGCACCAUUGGAUGAGCCUGCACUUGAUUAGUUUGUUGGUGGGGUAAUGGCCUACCAAGACAAUGAUCAAUAGCUGAUUUGAGAGGAUGAUCAGCCACAUUGGGACUGAGACACGGCCCAAACUCCUACGGGAGGCAGCAGUAGGGAAUCUUGCACAAUGGAGGAAACUCUGAUGCAGCGAUGCCGCGUGAGUGAAGAAGGCCUUUGGGUUGUAAAGCUCUUUCGUCGGGGAAGAAAAUGACUGUACCCGAAUAAGAAGGUCCGGCUAACUUCGUGCCAGCAGCCGCGGUAAUACGAAGGGACCUAGCGUAGUUCGGAAUUACUGGGCUUAAAGAGUUCGUAGGUGGUUAAAAAAGUUGGUGGUGAAAUCCCAGAGCUUAACUCUGGAACUGCCAUCAAAACUUUUUAGCUAGAGUAUGAUAGAGGAAAGCAGAAUUUCUAGUGUAGAGGUGAAAUUCGUAGAUAUUAGAAAGAAUACCGAUUGCGAAGGCAGCUUUCUGGAUCAUUACUGACACUG